UACAGAGGGGGCAAGCGUUAUUCGGAAUUAUUGGGCGUAAAGGGCGCGUAGGCGGCCUGGCAAGUGGAAGGUGAAAUCCCUCGGCUUAACCGAGGAACUGCCUUCCAAACUGCUUGGCUUGAGUCCGGGAGAGGUGAGUGGAACUGCGAGUGUAGAGGUGAAAUUCGUAGAUAUUCGCAAGAACACCAGUGGCGAAGGCGGCUCACUGGCCCGAUACUGACGCUGAGGUGCGAAAGCGUGGGGAGCAAACAGG
rnacentral:rRNA from 1 species